rnacentral:misc_RNA from 1 species
GAAAUCAAAGACCCUGAAGUUCCCAAGCCCCCUCCGCCCAAGCCCGCCGAUCCUCCACCGCCCAAAAAGGCCGAUCCGCCGCCACCCAAAAAAGCUGAUCCUCCGCCUCCCAAAAAACCCGAUCCCCCACCACCCCAAAAAGUCGAUCCUCCACCUCCUAAAAAGGCCGAUCCUCCACCCCCCAAAAAGGCCGACCCACCGCCACCCAAAGCCGAUCCUCCGCCACCCAAAAAAGCCGCCGACCCUCCUCCCCAAAAGGCCGCCGACCCUCCGCCGCCCAAAAAGGCUGACCCUCCACCCCCGAAGGCGGACCCUCCGCCUCCAAAGAAAGUAGAUCCUCCACCGGUAGUGGUUCCGGAGCCCACCCCGGUUCACAUUCCGACGCCGGUUCAACCG